GCAUUCCUGCGGUGUUCGACGGUCUCCCGGUUCCCCUUGAGCCUAAUUACCUAACCAGGGGUGGGAACCGGCGCAGGUGAGUAUGCCCGCCUUGCUGCGGGAAACCUAAUGCGUCGCAGACCGCCCCACUUGAGCGCUUGUCUCAAGGAUAGUGGACGACUGACGGCACGCGCGGGAAUGUC
rnacentral:other from 1 species